GCUUCUAUGGCUCAGUUGGUAGAGCGCAUGACUAGUAAUCAUGAGGUCCGCGGUUCGAAUCCGCGUGGAAGCA
rfam:Aspergillus niger DNA, contig: scaffold669_004, strain: An76, whole genome shotgun sequence.